rnacentral:miRNA from 1 species
GGUACAUAUGACCCUACUAAGUUUAAGCAGUAUAGUAGACAUGUGGAGGAAUAUGAUUUACAGUUUAUUUUUCAGUUGUGCACUAUUACUUUAACUGCAGAGGUUAUGUCAUAUA